rnacentral:lncRNA from 1 species
GAGAGAGAGAAGCAGGCUCCAUGCAGGGAGCCUGAUGUGGGAAUCGAUCCUGGGACUCCAGAAUCAGGCCCUGGGCCGAAGGCAGGCGCUCAACCACUGAGCCACCCAGGGAUCCCCUCCCCUCUGUGUUUUUCUCAUUUCAUCAAACCUGAAGCCUGCCAUAGGCUUCCGGGAGUCAUGGGAAUGAUGACACUUCUGAGUCCUGCCUGGGUGCUGACUGAGUUCUGACACCUGCUUUCUAAACUUCCAGGCAUCAAGUCCUAAAGAGCCUCCUGUCUUGGGUCAGUCUCAGGCCAGAUGUUUCCUCCAAGUAAAUCACGGGACGGCCUUCGAGACCAUUCUCAGGUAGAUCAUUUCUAACGUUCAGGAUGUCCUUUCUCGGCGUGCAGAGCCAUCUCGGUCCAAGGUGGAUGUCGAAGGGGUUGGCGCCAGCCUCCUGCCUCACCUCGGCCUUGAAGCAUCAUUCCGUCUCCUCAAGGUCCUGUGACUUCACCUUUUUCAGACUGCAGACUUACUGCCUUUGCUGUCUGUGGUGGUUUAACAACUUAGUAAAAGCUUGAAGAUGAAUCACAGCGUAAGACUCAAAGCUGAGUUGUCAUCAUGGCUAGGAAGCUGGGAGGAAGUCACAAAACCAGUGUGUGUUUGUAUGUAACCCACAAGAAUCAAUCACUUCAAGUUGAUGACUUGCUAUACCAGACUAACAGUUUCAGUCAAAAGGCUUGAACCAGUUGCUACAUGGGGACACCCAGAGAAGUUCAGCUUCUGAAAGAACGAACAUGCUUAUUUUCUUCAAGAAUAAAGGCAUCAGGGGCACCGGG